AUGUUUUGCUUGAUUUUCACUUCUAGUGCUUCAUUUUGAGGAUAAACUGUACUUAUUUGUAUUUAUUUUUGUUUGUUUUACUGAUGUUCAGUGACUGACAACUUUGAAACAGUCUGAGGUGUCUCUUCAAGUCUUGUGGAAAGGAAACAGUCUGAGGUGUCUCUUCAAGUCUUGUGGAAAGGAAACAGUCUGAGGUGUCUCUUCAAGUCUUGUGGAAAGGAAACAGUCUGAGGUGUCUCUUCAAGUCUUGUGGAAAGGAAACAGUCUGAGGUGUCUCUUCAAGUCUUGUGGAAAGGAAACAGUCUGAGGUGUCUCUUCAAGUCUUGUGGAAAGGAAACAGUCUGAGGUGUCUCUUCAAGUCUUGUGGAAAGGAAACAGUCUGAGGUGUCUCUUCAAGUCUUGUGGAAAGGAAACAGUCUGAGGUGUCUCUUCAAGUCUUGUGGAAAGGAAACAGUCUGAGGUGUCUCUUCAGGUCUUGUGGAAAGGAAACAGUCUGAGGUGUCUCUUCAAGUCUUGUGAAAGGCCCAGUGGAAAGGAAACAGUCUGAGGUGUCUCUUCAAGUCUUGUGAAAGGCCCAGUGGAAAGGAGGAGAGAUCAAUCAGACCAAGCUGAGCUCUCUGGGAUGACCCUCACCUGGUUCACCAGAGGUCAUGAGUUCAUUGCUUUCGCAACAUGUCUCUUGUUCAAGAGGCAGUGCUGGGGAGAGGAGAUAAGAUAGUGUUCACAUGGCUUCAUUUUAAGCAGUAGGUAUCGUGUCGGCCUGGGUGAUAUUUCUGCCACAGUGAUCUGUGGCUGGGCCUUUGUUUCUGCUUCAACAUCGCCCCCAUGUGGACGGGAUGUGCAAGUGCCUGCUGCGCCA